GGCUAAUACCGCAUGAUGCCUACGGGCCAAAGAGGGGGACCUUCGGGCCUCUCGCGUCAGGAUAUGCCUAGGUGGGAUUAGCUAGUUGGUGAGGUAAGGGCUCACCAAGGCAACGAUCCCUAGCUGGUCUGAGAGGAUGAUCAGCCACACUGGAACUGAGACACGGUCCAGACUCCUACGGGAGGCAGCAGUGGGGAAUAUUGCACAAUGGGCGCAAGCCUGA
rnacentral:rRNA from 1 species